UUUACACUGCACGCCAGUGCGAUAAGGGGACUCCGAGUGCGAGGGCAUACAGUCCUCGCUUUUCUGGACCGUAGGGAGGUCCAAGAAUAAGGGCUGGGCAAGACCGGUGCCAGCCGCCGCGGUAAUACCGGCAGCCCAAGUGAUGGCCGAUAUUAUUGGGCCUAAAGCGUCCGUAGCUGGCCAGACAAGUCUGUUGGGAAAUCCACGCGCUCAACGCGUGGGCGUCCAGCGGAAACUGUCUGGCUUGGGGGCCGGAGGACUCGAGGGGUACGUCCGGGGUAGGAGUGAAAUCCCGUAAUCCUGGACGGACCACCGGUGGCGAAAGCGCCUCGAGAGGACGGACCCGACAGUGAGGGACGAAAGCCAGGGUC
rnacentral:rRNA from 1 species